GCUGCAGCAUAAAAGACUUCAGGAGCAUACGUCUCUGAAGAGCAAAGAAUUUGUUGUAGUUCCUCAAAUAAUCAUUUCAGAAAUAUAGCCGAGACCCACUUGCCAGUCAGGGAAGCUGCAGCUUUGGGUGUAUUUCUGCCCCUUCCCACGUGCUUCUGGUGCAUGUUUUAACCACGUGACUGAUGCAAAACUGAGAAUAAUAAGUUUAUGCCAGUACCCGCCCUCAAAUCCAUGCUGUAACAUGUUCUCUGUUUACUAAAAUCUGCUAGUACUAUUAAAAAAAA